GGUGUAAUAAUCUCUUCGCCUGUGGCAUACAUUGUACGUGACGGUGAUGUAUCUAUGAUUAUCAUGUUAUCAGUCGGCAAAGGAUCAUAAACUUCAGAUUAUCUCGUGACGUGAUAGUUUUGGAUAAAGGUGACCGAGAUACUGUAAGAAAUACAGGUUUCAUCGAGUGUGCAACGAGGGUCAAGGAGAUACGGGAUUAUACACACACUAUUGUUCCAACAAAAUAAAGGCAAAGAGAUAUAAUUAUAUAGAUCGAAACACUGUUGACCUGUUGACUGGGAAAAGUCCGCGCUUAUAGCACCUUUCUUUUAUGAAAGGAAGUGAUCUACGUAUUGUUUCCUGAAUAAGUAAAUGCCGGAAUUAAACGUGACGUGAACAUGGAUUUGGAUAACCCAAAGAGGUACCAGAACUCGUCGGAUAAACCAAGGUUGGUAGAUAUAGCGAGAGGGUUAGGAGGGUCGGGAAUGCCAUCGCCGAGUACGUCCUACCCUCACCCGCCGACCGACCCCGGGGCCCAACCUAUCCAGUACCCUCACCCCUCUGCUCCAUCUCAGGAAGACCAGCGGGAUGGUUACCAAGGAAUGCAACAACCACCGCCACAACAUCAACCACAGCCUCAACAGCCACCACCACAACCAUAUCAACCACCCCCACAACAAGCAGCAACAGCUUUCCCGCAACCGGCACCACCCCAGCCUUCACAACAAACCCCAUAUACGGACACUGACCAGGAAAGGGGCGAUGUAAUGACAAAGCGGGCUCCGAUAAAAGUCGAAGAAAAGUCCCUCCUAGAAGCUUACAUCCUGUGCCUCCCCCUCGGAUUCCUUGGACUGCACCACUUUUACUUGGGACGUAUAGGGAUUGGAUUCCUCUACUUCUUCACUUUCGGGGUGUUUGGAAUCGGAUGGAUCAUUGAUUGGUUCCGACUGCCUUGUUGGUAAAGAAAACAAACGAGAAGAGAAGAGCUGAUGCUGAGAGAGGCUAUGUUCUCUACGGAGGUCCAUAUGAUGAGCUUUAUGAGAGGAGCUUAUGUUCAGCUUACCUCUUCUGGUUACCACCUGUUGGCAUCUUUGGUGGCCAUCACUACUACCUUGGUCGUACCGGUUAUGGUAUCCUCUACAGUCUUACCAUGGGUCUCUUCGGCGUCGGGUGGCUGUACGAUCUCUGCCGCAUCUGGGCUCUGACCAGACGCGCCAACAGGGAUAUCCGCACUUUACGCUCUGGGCGGCCUCUGUCUGCGAACCCCAGUGACCGGAUGUACCUGGAUGAUGCCUACUCUCUAGCGUUCCCGCUGGGAUUCCUCGGGCUGCAUCACUUCUACAUGCGCCGAUGGAUGUUCGGUGUCAUCUACUUCUUGACGUUCGGAUGCAUGGGUGUAGGUUUUUUGGUUGACCUGGUGAGGAUGCCGUACUUGUUUUUCAGGACAAAGAGAGAGCUGAAGACCGAUAACGAGAAGUUCCACAUGGAUGAUGCCUACCUGAUGUGGUUUCCUCUAGGGAUCAUUGGAAUGCAUCACCUUUAUCUCCAUCGCUGGGGUUGGGGCUUUGCCUACUUCUUCACGUUUGGUUUAUUCGGAUGUGGCUGGCUUAUUGAUCUGUGCAGGAUUCCUCAUCUCGUCAAAGCAGCCAAUGGACAGCGAAGUUGUGAAAGUCUGCUUGGAAACCAGUACAAUACAAAUGGGUCUACGACGUGUCAUUGUGAGGGCGCUGUCCACCCUGACCAUGGCGCAGGGCAGGCGACGUCGUACCAGUCCUUCCCGCAGACACCCGGCUAUGGGAACACGUUGGUGUACGCAUUCCCGCUGGAUCAGCACGGUCAUCCCAUCUGGUCGGAAAGAAGUGUCUGGACACAGGACGCAGGCGGUAUGACCGAUCCCAGUACAACAUUGCCAACACACUGGCAACCAGGACUAAACGGGCCGCCUGGACCAGCUGAACCACCACCACCGUACUCUCCAGCCACAACAAGCUAAUCUAUAACAACUAUUUAACAAAUGCUUGACGUUGAUGACGAUGUUUGGGAGGGCUGCAAAAGAUAUGAAAUGGAUGGAAUUGAUAUAGCAUCGUAUAUAUGGACAGUUGACACUAACUUAAACAGAAGAAGACGGAGAGACCGAAAGACAGAACAUUAUAAGAAUGUGUGUGAGAGUAUUUGUGGUGUGUUUGCAUUAUGAAAAUAAGAGAGAGAGAGAGAGAGAGAGAGAGAGAGGUAGUAAUAGUAGAAAAGGAUCGAAGAGGAUUUUAGUGGGGAAUUCAGAUUCGAGAAAGCUUUGACGUUUGGACUUGGACAUCGGACUGUAACGUCAUAUUUUAUUAGAAAUGCUAAAACAUAUUUUUAUGUAAAACAUAGAUUGAGAAAAUUAGUCAGAAGACCAAGAAUGACCUUGCUUAGAAAUGGCAAAUAGAAAUUUUAACUUUUUUUUGUUGUUGUUGGGGGGGGGGGGGGGGGGUGUAGGUGUAAGCUUUCAAAAUCGUUAGAAUCAAAGUACAUGUACAUGUAUAAGAUGUUUACUUUAAUAUAUUUCUUUCUCUCUCUCUUUCUCUCUCUCUCUCUCUCUCUCUUACUAUGGUCGAAAGGUAGUCGAAUGAAAUUAAAAAAUAUAUGAUUUAUUUCUCUCAUUUUUUAAAGAGAUUAUUUAAGCCGUGUAAAGGCCUACUGUAUAAUCCCUACAAUGCCCAGAAUCAGAUCCUAAAGAAAAAUUGCGACCAGCAUGCUUGUAAAUAUCUGUUUGAGAGUCAUCGAACACGUUCUCUGUUGGGUACCAAUUAUUGUGGAACAGUCUUCCUUGGUAUCUUCGCUCUUGUAUGUUGCUAUCCACUUUCAAAACCCAACUAAAACCUAUUCCACAUUGCCUACAACUAGUCACCACUCGUCUUUCCCAGGCGAGUCAUAAACAGAUUUAGGGGAACUUUUUUAAACAAGGUCACCAUAAUAUGGGCUUUUCCUUUGGUCUCCUAUUUCUCUUGAAGUUAUUGCAUACAUAUACCGAACAUUCUUUGCCUUAGUAUGUUUAUUUGCCUUUGCUGUGUUUUUUAUGAAAAUGAAAUGACUAAACGAUCUGAACUGAACUCAAGAUAUUCAGUAGUUUUUCAGUCUCAUCCGCGCUUUUGAUUAGUCAACUAGAUAUUGGCGCUCAACAUUUUUCAUAUCUGUCUCUCUCUCGUUGUCAGAUGUUGCCUAUAGGUACUGCUGUGCAUGGCCUUAAAAGCUCGCAAUCUUCCUCUAUCUCUAGCUUUAGUCGUAGCUCUUGCCAUACUUCCUCCUGACCAGACCUUCAUUUCGUCUGUCUAAACUGUUGUCGGACGACCUCAACCUCAAUGUCCUUCCAAAACGGUAUCCUAAAUAAUUUGCGUACUUAUCAGCUCGAGAUUGCCAAAUAUCCAGCUGUUUUAAUUAUCCCGGUCGCAAAUUAUCCCGUUAAUUUGCAUCUUCAUUAGCCCGAAGUUGCAAUUAGUGGGAUAUUUGGUCGAGAUAAUCAUCCCGAGAUAUCUUGGGCUAGUUCGCAAAAUAUCCCGCUAU